rnacentral:piRNA from 1 species
UGGACUCUGCUGUUUGGAGCAGGUCAC